AUUUUGGACAAUGGGCGCAAGCCUGAUCCAGCCAUGCCGCGUGAGUGAAGAAGGCCAUCGGGUUGUAAAGAACUUCCGGACGGAAAGAAAUCGCGCAGGCCACUACCCUGCGCUGAUGUCGGCAUCGUCAUUAGAAGCCCCCGCCAACUACAUGUACGCAGCCGCGGUAAUACGUAGGUUGCGAGCGUUAAUCGGAAUUACUGGGCGUAAAGCGUGCGCAGGCGGUUGAUUAAGACAGGCGUGAAAUCCCCGGGCUUAACCUGGGAACUGCGCUUGUGACUGGUCAGCUAGAGUACGGCAGAGGGGGGUGGAAUUCCACGUGUAGCAGUGAAAUGCGUAGAGAUGUAGAGGAACACCGAUGGCGAAGGCAGCCCCCUGGGCCGAUACUGACGCUCAUGCACGAAAGCGUGGGUAGCAAACAGG
rnacentral:rRNA from 1 species